AAGAAUGGCCUGGAUUGGGCCUCUCCUAGGGCCCAACGAGGCCUUGGUCCAAAGAGCCUCCACCAUUGUUCAUAAACAAACACAAUAACAGACAAAAGAUUGAAAACAAAUCCUAUCACCGGCGCUCCUUUUCAAUUCAUGCGAAACGGCAACGUCACACAUCCAGACGUGGUUUCAACAUCAACUAACAAUCGAAGAUCCACUGUACACACUUCCUCCGAUGGAGUCCUAUUCAUUCUAUCCUUCGAUCCAUCCUCCCCGCCGAUGAAGCGAGGAGUUCGAUUACAUGUGGAAGAACGCUACAUCGUUGCGGUAACAGAAUCCGCAAAUAGCAACAAAGCAAGUUGAAGGAGAUAUGUACCUUAUUCGUGUGUAUGCUUUGAGAUGAAGAUGAAGAAGAACUGUUGGAUCGUUGCGAUGAAGACGGUGACGAACGAAGCUUCUCCGAUUUGCACCUUCGCGAUCUUUGAAUGAGACGUCGAUUCGCGGUCGUUGUAGUCGUGCGGCGAUGAAGUAGGUGAUGAUUGGAAGAUGCGAUGUGGAUUGGAUUUUCUGGGAAGAGAUUCUUGAAGCCGGUUACUUAUUCUACUGGUUGAAGAAGCUAAAGAUUCGUCGGUGACGACGAGGAGGAAAGGUUUGUUACGGAGGUUGAAGGUUUUCUCACGUGUUCUCUCUUGCCGAAGCCGAAACUUCAACCGAAAAGCAUACGUCUUUAUAUAGAACUAUGGGUGAAUUUUCUAUUUGGAUUUGGAUUCGCUUCCUCGCAUUUUGGCUUGCGUUUGCUAUUAUAAAACACUGCAUUUCAACUUGCUUUAUGCACUUGCGUUUCCGUAUUCCUUGCUGCGUUUUGAAAUUGGUCUGAAGCUGGCUUUGUAGCAGCUUAUGGCUUGGAUCGUUCUUGGAAGUAGUUUAUGCUCGUGUUUAACUUUGGCUGUUGCAGCGGUGUUACAAUUGAUAAUGGCUUAUUGCUGCUCUUAUUAUGCAGCUUGUGGCUUUCCGUUUGGUAUGGCUUGUACAGCCGUUUUAAUUUUGCGCUUUCCAAUUUUUGUUUACGCAGUUGUUUCAUGUACAGCUGGUGUAGCUGCAGUUCACGGCCCGCGUUUGGUUUUGGCGCAGUUUCAAUUUGGCUCACACAUUGGAUUCGUUGGUUGCACGUUGUUGUUGUUUCAGGUUCUUCUCAUUGCCGUUUCUGUUAUUUUCACCGCUGUUUUGCAGCUUGGCUUACGGCGUCGCCGUUAUAUUGUUGUGGUAGCUCUUUACAACGGUGUACUCGGAAGCUUGGCGCACAUAGCAGUUGUGGAUAGGCAUGGCAACGGGGCGGGUCGGGGACGGUUUUUACCUCCCCAAACCCAAACCUGAAUCCCAAAACAAUCCCCGUUCCCCGCCCCAAACCCAAACGGGGAUGGAGAAUUAAAACCCAAACCCAUCCCAAACGGGUUCGAGUUGGGUUCGGGUAUCCCCGCCCCGCCACCAUCCAUUUAGUAAAAUCAUUUUUUUUAAUAUAAAUAUUUACUUUUAAAAAAAUUAAACAUUUAAAAUAUUUCGUACAUACAUUUAAAUAUAUUAAAUAAUUAAUACAAAUCAAAAUAUUAAAACAUUGGUCACUUAUUUAAUAUUCUAAAUCAUCAAAAAUAAAUAAUAGUGUACAUAAUAAAAUAAACGGGGCGGGUUCGGGGUCGGGUUCGGGGUGGGUACUAGUGUCCCCAUUACCCGACCCGUCCCCAUUCUUUAUAAUCGGGGAAAACCCAAACCCAAACCCAAACUCAGUCAAAGCGGGUUUUCCCCGUCAACUUCGGGGCGGGUUCGGGUGGGUACCCGCGGGUACGGGUUAUGUUGCCAUGCCUAGUUGUGGAGUUGUAUUGUUAUUGGCUUAUUAUACGCUUUUGGCCUUGACACGCUUUCGGCCUUGAUACGCUUUCGAAUUAAUGUAGCAGCUUUUUGUUGUUUAUUCUUUGGAAGUGUUAGCUUGUUAUUGCUAUUGUGCAGCAUCUUUUGCUUAUCGUCGCCGUUGGUGUGUUUGGAUAUUGGUUAUGGCGGCGUUACCUUCUUGUUGGUUUGUAGCUUAUACUUCCUGUACAUUGCCUUACGUUACUUCUCAAUUCCACUGUUUUCUUUUUCCAUUUUCAUUUUGUCUUAUUGGACAUGUAACAUUGUACUGAUUACAAUUGAAUUGGAUAAAUGGAAGGGUUUGGAUAAUGAAUAAUGGGUAAUUAAAAUUAGAUGGUAGUUAGUUUGGGAAUUUGGAUAAGAAAACAUGGGCUUAGAUGGAUUUUAGAUAAUGAAUAUUGAAUGGAUAUUGGAUUUUUGUAAAAAAAUGAAAUUGGAUUAUGAAAUGGAUUUAAAAUGGAUUUAAAUGGUUUAUUAAUAAAAAUCAAGAAACUCUAAUGAUAAAAGAAAUGUUACGAUUAAUUUGUACGUAAAACAAUGUUUUCUAAAAUUUAAUCGGCUAAGACAAAUGAUGAAAUGGUUAUGAAAUCAAAAUAAUUCCCAAAAGUCGAUUUGAAUCUCAAGGAUCGAGCAUUGAACUAAAAUUCAAUUCGAACCUUUAAAAUCCACCUGAACUUCCUGAAUUAAUUCGAAAUCGAUGGAAUGAUUACGGAUCACAUGAUUAAAAAUUCAGAGGUUGACGGUUGACUUUGGUCAACCGGUCGACCAAAAAGUCAACACAGCCAAAAAUGCGUAUUUCUCAUGGACAAACGAAUAUGGACUACAACAUCCUGAACCAACGAUUUAUGUCACUGCCAUGAAUUAAUUCAGGUGAACAUCGACCAAACAACCGCUCGUGCAUAAGAUCCUCGAAUAAGCCAUGAAUCAGGAUUUCAGUCCAUAUGAUGUGCAAUGCCAUAAACUUCAAUCUAAAUCCGAUUUUAUCAACCGCAGACCCUGAAUCCGUUAUGCAUGUGAGCUGAUGUUAAUCAUGAAUGAAUGAAUGCACAUGAAUGAGUAUGAAUGAGGUCAGACGGUUAUCGAGUUACAAUCAGAUAAAAAAAGCGAAAAGGAGGGCAAAUUUUGGGGUUUGACAGCGGGUAACAUGCGGUGUGAAUACCGUGCUAAAGAGAUCGCAAAUGAUUGGGAUCUUGCUGCUAUUAGUGCUCACCUUUGCCUUGAGGGAAGGACGUAUGACUUGAACGAUCAAGGAUUUGCAAAAUCUUGGAAGAGGGAAAACCUUAAUUUGGAAGCCCGAGCUUAUUUGGUUCUUUUGUUGAACAACAUUCGGCCACGGAGCCAUAAUACCACAAUUCCACUCGAUGUCGGCUGCUUUUUGUAUUACAUUAUGAUUGGGAAAUCGGUGGAUGUGGCGUCUAUCAUCGCGGAGGAGAUGAGAAAAGUGGCAACUAGCGGGACAAAGUUCGGAGGGAAAACCGGUGUGCUCAUGUAUCCGGGGCUGAUUAUGGGGCUUUGCCGAAGGCAAAAUGUGCAUAUUCCAGAUGAGGUGUACCUUUCUAUAACCAGUGUGAUUAAUGAUGUGUUUUUGAAUAGGUUCUGGCAAAGUCAAAUGGAUAGAGCUGAGGGAGCAAACACUUCUUCAUCUAGGCCUCGCGCCCGUUGUGCACCAGUUUUUAAUCAGAUGGCGUUUGCCACUUACUGUUGUGAAAAAUUUGAGUCUUCUAGAAGGUCUCAAUCAUUCUUAUUUGAUGCCAUGCAGCAGCAGUUCCAGAACACAUUCUUAGCACCCGAAGCCCGCACUUUUCCGACUCAGGCGGAGUAUGUAUCUUAUUCUAAUUGGCCUGAGGGCAGACCAACAUUCAUGGGGGGUGCAGGAGGUAGUGGUCAAGCUAGUGGUGCAGGUCAUGAUGAAGACAUGUAAGAUGUCAUUGGGUCCGUGGGCAGUGGUGUUGAUGAGGAGGAUUGAAGACCUUGGUUUGGGUUGUAUUAGAUUUUUUAUUUGUUAGUUUUUAUUAUUAUUAUUAUUAUUAUUAUUUUUUGUGUUUUUAAUUAUGGUUGUACUUUAGGAAGCAUCACAUGUUGGUGUUUCCCGUUUUUUUUUGUACUUUUGGUGGCUCUCGUUUCACCGUGAAUUUUUGUUUUGUUAAUUGCAUGUAUCUUUAUUGUGAAGUUUAAUUGUGUGUUUCUAUGAACUUUGGUAUGCCCCACUUUUUUGUUUAAUUGUUCUCAUUCUUGAGUUAAGCUUGAAGGAACCAAAUGAUGCUUGCAAGGAAGGAAGCGUAGGACACUUCGAGUGGUGAUGAUAAGAAUUGGUUGUCGGCAUUUCAAGAAAUUAUGGACAAGAGAGCAUUGGAUUGCAUGAGCAAAAUUUGGAAGGAGCUUGAUGGGCAUUUUGGAAGCACACUUGAAGAAUAAAGUUUGGAAGAAAAAGUGUUGAGGAAGCUUGCAAGGCAAAGAAGCUGCAUUUCCUUCAGUUCAGCCGCUACCCAUGUUGGUGCCGCGAACCCUGCGAAGUCAGCAAGCCUUUUAAUUAGUUUGGGCCACUUGUUAUGUUUUGAGCCCAACUUAACUGUGACAUUUUUAGAACCUUUUGAGACCACUUUUCUGUAUUAGACCAAAAGGAGAUCAUUAGAGAAACAUGAACUUUUAACCACACAUUGGGAGAAAAAGAGGGAUUAUCACAAGUUUUGUAAAAGCAAUCUAGAGGCCAUUUUUGAAUUCAUUCCAUUUUUAUUGCUGCCAAACAUGGUGAUGAGGAGUUAAACCCCACUUUGGCAAGAUUGGAGGUAGUAGCUAUCCCUUAUUGAUUAUGUAUUCCUAUUAACUCUUGUAUGUGACAAUUGAUUAUUGAUGUAUGGAUUGAUACUUUCACCCUA